rnacentral:lncRNA from 10 species
CGCCUGUAAUCUCAGCACUUUGAGAGGUGGGCUGAUCACGAGGUCAGGAGAUCAAGACCAUCCUGGCUAACACGGUGAAACUCUGUCUCUACUAAAAAAAAAAAAAAAAAAAAAAAAAAAAAAAAAAAAAAAAAAAAAAAAAUUAGCCAGGCGUUGUGGCAAGCGCCUGUAGUUUCAGCUACUCGGGAGGCUGAGGCAGGAGAAUGGCGUCAACCCGGGAGGCAGAGCUUUCAGUGAGCCGAGAUCGCACCACUGCACUCCAGCC